CCUACGGGUGGCAGCAGUAGGGAAUAUUGCUCAAUGGGGGAAACCCUGACGCAGCAACGCCUCGUGGAUGAUGAAGGUUUUCGGAUUGUAAACUCCUUUUGUUAGGGAAGAUAAUGACGGUAUCUCACGAAUAAGCACCGGCUAACUCCGUGCCAGCAGCCGCGGUAAUACGGAGGGGGCAAGCGUUACUCGGAAUCACUGGGCGUAAAGAGCGCGUAGGCGGGAUAGCAAGUCAGAAGUGAAAUCCUAUGGCUUAACCAUAGAACUGCUUUUGAAACUGUUAUUCUAGAGUAUGGGAGAGGUAGGUGGAAUGCUUGGUGUAGUGGUAAAAUGCGUAGAGAUCAAGAGGAAUA
rnacentral:rRNA from 1 species